rnacentral:rRNA from 1 species
CACGGACCGCACGAACGUUAUUCGGUAUCACUGGGCUUAAAGGGUGCGUAGGCGGCUUUGCAAGUUGGGUGUGAAAGCCCCCGGCUCAACUGGGGAGGGUCAUUCGAUACUGAUCGACUCGAAGGCAGGAGAGGGUAGUGGAAUUCCCGGUGUAGUGGUGAAAUGCGUAGAUAUCGGGAGGAACACCAGUGGCGAAGGCGGCUGACUGGACACAUAUUGACGCUGAGGCUCGAAAGCAUGGGGAGCAAACAGG